rnacentral:rRNA from 1 species
UGGGGAAUAUUGGACAAUGGGCGCAAGCCUGAUCCAGCGACGCCGCGUGAGUGAUGAAGACCUUCGGGUUGUAAAGCUCUGUUGAGGGAGAAGAAAACGUUUGGCGCGAAUAGCUCCAGACCUUGACGGUAUCCCUUUAGAAAGCACCGGCUAACUCCGUGCCAGCAGCCGCGGUAAUACGGGGGGGGCAAGCGUUGUUCGGAAUUACUGGGCGUAAAGGGCUCGUAGGCGGCCAACUAAGUCACACGUGAAAUCCCUCGGCUCAACCGGGGAACUGCGUGUGAGACUGGAUGGCUUGAGUUUGGGAGAGGAAUGCGGAAUUCCAGGUGUAGCGGUGAAAUGCGUAGAUAUCUGGAGGAACACCGGUGGCGAAGGCGGCAUUCUGGACCGACACUGACGCUGAGGAGCGAAAGCCAGGGGAGCAAA